GUUCGUCUCUCCAGUUCAGAAAACAAUAUGCACGUGCAUUACAUGUUUUGCUCGUGCAUGAAGGUGAAAUGCAUGCAUGUACACAUUUCACAAGACCAUGUUUAGAGAGUAGUACUGUGUGAGUUGAUGAUUCAGUAAUAUGGCUCGCAACCAGUAACCUGAGGCCACAAAAUGGCAAACUGUAGGCAUGAGAGAAGGCGGCAUGUCCUUGCGACAGAUUACAAGACGCGUUAACGUCUGUCACAGCGUCAUCAGCAAGUUGCUGAAAAAACACCACAGGAGAGGUGAAGUCAAGGUUACCGCAGGUCGAGGUCGACCCAAAAAGACCGAUUUGAUGGAUGAUAGACGGCUGCUACGAAUGGCACAUCAGGCACCAUUUUGGUU